CAGCCGCCGCGGUAAUACGUAGGGUGCGAGCGUUACUCGGAUUUACUGGGCGUAAAGCGUGCGCAGGCGGCCCGUUAAGACAGGUGUGAAAUCCCUGGGCUCAACCUAGGAAUUGCGCUUGUGACUGGCGGGCUCGAGUACGGUAGAGGGGGGUGGAAUUCCUGGUGUAGCAGUGAAAUGCGUAGAGAUCAGGAGGAACACCGAUGGCGAAGGCAGCCCCCUGGGCCUGUACUGACGCUCAUGCACGAAAGCGUGGGGAGCAAACAGGAUUAGAUCCCCUGGUAGUCCACGCCCUAAACGAUGGGUACUAGCCGUUUGGUGCGCGAUAGCGCUGAGUGGCGAAGCUAACGCGUGAAGUACCCCGCCUGGGGAGUACGGCCGCAAGGUUGAAACUUAAAGGAAUUGGCGGG
rnacentral:rRNA from 1 species